rnacentral:rRNA from 1 species
CAGCAGCCGCGGUAAUACGAAGGGUGCAAGCGUUACUCGGAAUUACUGGGCGUAAAGCGUGCGUAGGUGGUGGUUUAAGUCCGUUGUGAAAGCCCUGGGCUCAACCUGGGAAUUGCAGUGGAUACUGGGUCACUAGAGUGUGGUAGAGGAUAGUGGAAAUUCCGGUGUAGCAGUGAAAUGCGUAGAGAUCGGAAGGAACAUCUGUGGCGAAGGCGACUAUCUGGGCCAACACUGACACUGAGGCACGAAAGCGUGGGGAGCAAACAGGAUUAGAUACCCGGGUAGUCCCUGUCUCUUAUAC